CAGCAGUGGGGAAUAUUGCACAAUGGGGGAAACCCUGAUGCAGCGACGCCGCGUGAAGGAAGAAGUAUUUCGGUAUGUAAACUUCUAUCAGCAGGGAAGACAAUGACGGUACCUGACUAAGAAGCCCCGGCUAACUACGUGCCAGCAGCCGCGGUAAUACGUAGGGGGCAAGCGUUAUCCGGAUUUACUGGGUGUAAAGGGAGCGUAGACGGAUCUGCAAGUCUGGAGUGAAAGCCCGGGGCUCAACCCCGGGACUGCUUUGGAAACUGUGGAUCUAGAGUGCCGGAGAGGUAAGCGGAAUUCCUAGUGUAGCGGUGAAAUGCGUAGAUAUUAGGAGGAACACCAGUGGCGAAGGCGGCUUACUGGACGGUAACUGACGUUGAGGCUCGAAAGCGUGGGGAGCAAACAGGAUUAGA
rnacentral:rRNA from 1 species